GACGAACGCUGGCGGCGUGCCUAAUACAUGCAAGUUGAGCGCUGAAGGUUGGUACUUGUACCGACUGGAUGAGCAGCGAACGGGUGAGUAACGCGUGGGGAAUCUGCCUUUGAGCGGGGGACAACAUUUGGAAACGAAUGCUAAUACCGCAUAAAAACUUUAAACACAAGUUUUAAGUUUGAAAGAUGCAAUUGCAUCACUCAAAGAUGAUCCCGCGUUGUAUUAGCUAGUUGGUGAGGUAAAGGCUCACCAAGGCGAUGAUACAUAGCCGACCUGAGAGGGUGAUCGGCCACAUUGGGACUGAAACACGGCCCAAACUCCUACGGGAGGCAGCAGUAGGGAAUCUUCGGCAAUGGACGAAAGUCUGACCGAGCAACGCCGCGUGAGUGAAGAAGGUUUUCGGAUCGUAAAACUCUGUUGGUAGAGAAGAACGUUGGUGAGAGUGGAAAGCUCAUCAAGUGACGGUAACUACCCAGAAAGGGACGGCUAACUACGUG
rnacentral:rRNA from 1 species